rnacentral:lncRNA from 1 species
UAUUAACGAAAGAGCAAAAUUAAAGAAGAUAAUUCAAGAAAAGCCCGCGAGAGAUCGCAAGAAUCGUCCGUGAGAUGGUGCUAUCGACGACGAAUCAGCGGCGAGAACGCAGAGCGUCAUCGGCUCAAAACAUGAUGCACAGUAGUUAGUGUAUUCGAGAAAGAGGUUAGGGUGAAUAAUACGAUACAGUUAAUCCCAUCACGAGUGACAAUUCUUUUGGGACGUAUCACGAAAGGGUUUGUUGACCACGGAUUGAGGGACGUUAUCGAAUGGUGAACGCGUCAUUCAGUAGCAGAGAAGCGGUACUAUUGAUAAGAGUGGAAGAGAGAUAGCGAUAGAGAUAGAAAAAGCGUGGUGGGGACGGUAGCGCCGCGCGCGCACGAUUUUGCAAGUACGAGGAAGAGUUGCGAAGGAGUAGGAGGAGUGGGAGGUGUAUGGUGUCGUGGGGGGGUAGUUGCAAUGUGGAAGGUGGUGGGGAGAAAAAGGAGGAGAAGAGCCGGUGGCGACGGGAGCGUGCGAGAGAGUGGAGUGGGGCUCGAGGGAGGGGCGGAGAGGAGGCGAGUUUGUUUAUCGCCUUGGUGAACGGUGCGAGAAGUAGUCGUCAGUCAGUGCGGUGCUACACUUGGCCUGCGGUGGUCGGAGUGUUCGGUAGAGUCCUGCUUUUCCGUCUUCGCGUCUCUUUCGCUCUCGCGUGUCCUCGUUCUAACUUUUUUUUUUAUGUUUCCUUUUGACACUCUUGGUUUCUCUACUUCGGGUGAGUGCGUAUGGCUAAUGCUCUCGUGCUUCGUUUUAUCGAAUAAGGAAGGAAGAAAAUUCGUGUGAAAAAUUUCAGUGAGAUAUUAUCAACGAUAAACAAACGCAAGAAAAAAAGAAAGAGAGAGAGAGAAAAUAAAAUAUACGCGUGUACACAUAACAUAUAUACACACAACACACGCAUAUACAUGUGUUGUUGUUGCUGUCAUCGUCGACAUCCGUGUAAAAAAAAUCGUGUUCGGAUUUGAAGAAGAGACGAGAGAACAAGGUCAUAAUACGCAAAACAUGCCACGAAGAAACAACGCUGAGGGAUAGGAUCUCUCAAAUCUUGCACGCAUACAAAUUUAUCACAUAUAUAAAUAUAUACACACUUACACAUAUACGUACGUUGGUUUUUUUUUCUUCUUCUUCUUCUUCUUCUUCUUCUCUUGAAUUUUUACCUUCUAUUUCUCUCUCUUUCUCUCCACGUAUAUUUUGUUCUGAAGUACCUCUCGACCGAUGUGAAAUUCGCCGUGGGAUACGUCCACUACAAUCUCGCACGAACUAUAUCAAAGAGAUAAGCCGUUGAAAAAGAACCCGACACCCCACCAAAAACAAGGAAAAGAAGAAUACACAGGAAGGAAGAAACACGCGCGUGUUAUCAAAAUCUUUCGACGGAGUAAUUUUUCAAUUCGUUCGAGUUUUUUUUUUUUUGGAAUAAAUAAAUAUAUCUUCUCCUCACUAAGAAGAAAAAUAACGUCGGGAUAACACAUAUAUACAUCUAUUGAUUAUUCAAUAUUUUAUUACUAUCCAUCAACGAAUCACAAUCUCUCAAGGAGACAUCUUUACGUCAACGUUGAAGAAAUUGAAGAAAUUUGUUGUUUAAAAAAACAACAACAACAAAC